UCUCUCUCUCUCUCUCUCUCAAUAAAGCUCUAGAAAGGUAACCAUGCCCCGUGAUUCUUCCGCCACCGCAGCAGCGUCCAGCGCUCUUUCCCGUCUGCAUAGCCACUGCGGGCGCCGCCGCUUCACCAACAAUCUUCAAACUUAGGAAAGUGUCUGACCACCGCAAAGCCUUCAGUAAUUACGAGGUGGAGGCGCCCAGAAUUAGUACACGAUCAUUUUAACACGGUAAUGAAGUUGGUCCGGCCCGUGGGAUGGAAGCGCCUGCCACAGGAAACCAACUGGUCUUGCCACCAGCGCUCUCCAGGCAUUUCCCCCUGCCGCGCCUUCUUCGCCCCAGCACUCGCAGCGGCCCAAGCUGCCUUCUGGGUUUCCAACUGCAGAAAAGCUGCGCUCCCAGGUCUGCCUCUCCCCGGGAACCUCACCUCGGGCGCGUUUUUCUCUUAGGGGGUUCCUAAAGUCCCAAAGUUGGGACCAUUUAAGUGAGCGUGACCGUGUCCUAGUCCCGCUCUAAAUCUCGGGCUUUUAUUCGUCCAUCCGGCUUUGGAGCUGAAGUUGGAGGAGGGCAGCUAACAUCCGGUUGCUCGGAGGCACGGCCACUGGGCUCGGGAGGAGUGGCGCGCCGCUGGCCCACCUGGACCCGGGGACCCUUCCCGGUCCCUGGCGGUGGUCGUGCAGUCACGUGGCCUGAGGACGCGCGGCAGUGCGGGCACUCCAGAGACAGAGGGAAGAAGACCACAAGUUCAAGUUGCAGCCAAACCACCGUUUUGAAAUGCCCAGUGUUGAAAGCCUGAGUUCACCGCACUCCAUCCUGAAGGGAGGGGGCUGAGUGUCCGUGCAGCAGUUGCUCCCUGCCUGUGACCAAAAACGGAAUCAAGCUCUAGAGUACCGGGGUGAACCAGACAGGACCUGUGACCUGUGGGCGUGUCCGUUCUGCGCGAGGGUGUUUGGAGCAGGUUUGGGCUGUGGCGGAGGAGAUGUGCAGGUGGCUGACCUAGCCUAACACAGACACAGUUUUUCGAGACAGGGUUUCUCUGUGUAGUCCUGGCUGUCUCAGAACUCGCUCUGUGGACCAGGCUGGCCUCGAACUCACAGAGAUCCGCCUGCCUCUGCCUCCCGAGUGCUGGGAUUGAAGGUGUGCACUACCACCGCCUGGCUAUUUUCUAUUAUUUUAAGGCUAGCUCUUCUACACGGCCCAGGCUGAUCAUAAACUGGCUUCUUCCUGCUUCUGAGUACUCUCGACGUGCUGACGUUACAAGCCCGUGCUGCCACAGCUCGGUGA